rnacentral:rRNA from 1 species
AGAGAGAGACAUGCGCGCAUAUCAAUAAGCGGAGGAAAAGAAACUAACAAGGAUUCCCUUAGUAACGGCGAGUGAAGCGGGAAGAGCUCAAAUUUGAAAUCUUCAAGGUUUUACCUUGACGAAUUGUAGUUUAAAGAAGUGUUUUCUGCUGAAGUUUUGGUAAAAGUUCUUUGGAAUAGGACAUCAUAGAGGGUGAGAAUCCCGUAUUUGACCAUUAUUUUCAGCUUUGUGAUACACUUUCAAAGAGUCGGAUUGUUUGGGAAUGCAGUCCAAAAUGGGUGGUAAAUUUCAUCUAAAGCUAAAUAUUGGCGAGAGACCGAUAGCGAACAAGUACCGUGAGGGAAAGAUGAAAAGAACUUUGAAAAGAGAGUUAAACAGUACGUGAGAUUGUCAAAAGGGAAGCGUUUGACACCAGUGUUGUUUUCUCGAAAAUCAAUUAAAAAUGGCUCGAUUUUGUAUUGCUGAGACCUUAAAAGCUCACUGUACAUUUUUCGUGUCUAUUUUAAUGCACUUUUCGUUUAACAAGUCAACAUCAGUUUCUUUUGUUGUAAAAGGGUCAUUGGAAGGUGGCUUUCUUUUCGGAGAAAGUGUUUAUAGCCUUUGGCCUCUGCAAUCGGAAGAGACUGAGGUCUGCAGCGUAGACUCUUCGGGGUUAGAUACAUUUGUGUUAAGUUAUAGCUUUUUAUAGACAACUUGUUGACUAUAAUUAGUCUUGUAGCUUACUCGCUUAUGCUAUUUUACCUACGCUUAGGAUGUUGAAGUCAUCGUAUCGCGC